ensembl:lncRNA
AUGUCGCUUGAAGCCCGGGUGCCGGGCUGCAGGCCAAGCCCAAGAGCGGGUCCUCACAGCCCCUUUGGCGUGUCUACAAGAAUCCAGAGAGCCGACGCCUUGGGGAGAUUGUCCGUGGAGAUAUGGAGGGGGGAGCCUGGCUCGGGCAGGGGCGACCACUGCAUUCACCUCCUACCGGGAGACCUAGAAAGCCCCGACCUGAGCAGCAGCUCUUCCCACGCGAGUUCUAGCUGCCCCCCCCUGGGCACUGGCCCACUGUGUAGCCCCAACACACUCACUGCUGCCCCGGAAAGAGUGAGGGGCACGGAGGAGAGGUUCCAGCCUGUGUGUCUCUGUCCCUGUCUGGCUCUCUGGCUCUCUGUCUCGGUCUGUUUCUGUCUCUCUCUAUCUCUCUGUCUCUGUCUCUCCCUCUCUCUCUUUGUCUCUCUCUCUUUAUCUCUGUCUCUCUCUCCUCUCUCUGACUCUUUAUCUGUUUCUCUCCCCUCUCUCUGUGUGUCUCUCCCUCUCUGUGUCUCUCUGUCUCUGUUUCUCUCUUUAUCUCUGUCUCUCUAUUUCUGUCUCUCUCCCUCUCUGUCUCUCUCUCUACCUCUGUCUCUCACUCUCUGUCUCUCCUCUUUCUGUCUCUUUAUCUUUGUCUCUGUCUCUCUCCUCUGUCCCUCUCUCUGUCUCUCUCCCUCUAUGUCUGUCUCUCUCUCACUUUCUCUAUCUCUAUUUCUGUCUCUCUCUACCUCUGUCUCUCUCUCUAUUUCUGUCUCUCACUUUCUGUCUCUGUUUCUCUCUUUAUCUCUGUCUCUGUCUCUCCUCUGUCCCUCUCUCUGUCUCUCUCCCUCUAUGUCUGUCUCUCUCUUUAUCUCUGUCUCUCUAUUUCUGUCUCUCCCUCUCUGUCUCUCUACCUCUGUCUCUCACUCUCUGUCUCUGUCUCUCUCUCUAUUUCUGUCUCUCAUUUUCUCUGUCUCUCUUUAUCUCUGUCUCUCUCUCUCUCUCCUCUGUCCCUCUCUCUGUCUCUCUCCCUCUAUGUCUGUCUCUCUCUCUAUUUCUGUCUCUCAUUUUCUCUGUCUCUCUUUAUCUCUGUCUCUCUCCCUAUUUCUGUCUCUCUCCUCUCUCUGUCUCUUUAUCUCUCUCUCUCUCUCUGGGCUCCUUCACAACUCGGCAGCACAGCUUUGGGGGCUCCUCCUGCGCGGCGCCAGGACUCUGCUCUCCUUCCACGUCCGGAGAGAGAAGGGAGGAGGGAGAAACAAAGGGACGGGGGACAACUAGCCGAGAGGGCGGGCAGCGAGCGAGGGGGGAGCCGCUGCAGCCCCGACAUCUGGCUCUUUUCUGCGAGGUUUUCGGAUUAGCUCAGCGUCUGGCCUCGGCUCUCUCCCCAGCCUCUCUGCGGGGCGGGGGCGGGAGCCGCCAGGGCCAGGCCAGCUCAGGGAAGGGGGCCGCGGGACCAGCCUUCCCUUCUGCUCAGGCCCGAAUUGAGGCCGAGGGGCGUGGGUUGAGGCGGCUCGAAGCCUGCCUCAGUUUUCUCAGCAGUACAAUGGCUCGAGGCCAAAGAGCCGCAGAGAGCCAGAGCCUCAGGCGGCACAAUUGGGGCGGCCAGGCCAGGACCCUCGCCCCCUCUGCACAUCUUUCUCCCCCACCCGCGCCCCAGGGAGAAUCUCGGGGGCUCCUUCCCCCCUGUGCCUCGACAGGCCAGAGCCAGGGCGUGGCUCGGCCUGGGUGCUCCGUGGCUAGGCUGGCGGGGUGGGGAAACAAGUGGAGGGGCCAGGAGGGCGGAGGGUUUCUCCGGCGCUUGUGCCACGCUGUACUAACCGCCCCCCG